rnacentral:lncRNA from 1 species
AUGACAAAGAAAAGAAGGAACAAAGGUCGUGCUGAAAAGGGCCGCGGCCACGUGCAGGCUAUUCGCUGCACUAACUGUGCCCGAUGCAUGCCCAAGGACAAGGCCAUUAAGAAAUUCGUCAUUCGAAACACAGUGGAGGCCGCAGCAGUCAGGGGCAUUCUGAAGCAAGUGUCUUCGAUGCCUAUGUGCUUCCCAAGCUGUGUGUGAAGCUACAUUACCGUGUGAGUUGUGCAAUUCACAGCAAAGUAGUCAGGAAUCGAUCUCGUGAAGCCCGCAAGGACCGAACACCCCCACCCCGAUUUAGACCUGCGGGUGCUGCCCCAUGUCUCCCACCAAAGCCCAUGUAA